CAAUAUAAGUGCUACAAUUUGUUAGUCUUUUAGUCGAGGUAGAGUCUGAAGAGGUGAAGGGGUUCGAUGUGGCACAGGGGGUAGAGUGGGUGCGCUGGGAACCGCAAGGUUGGUGGUUUGAGUCCCGGCCGCCCUAUGUCUCAAGUCGAAGUGUCCCUGAGCAAGACACCUAACCCCUAAUUGCUCCCCAGGCAAAAAUGUAAAAGCCAUGCGUUUAAAGUGUAGUGUAAGUCGCUUUGGAUAAAAGAAUCAGCUAAAUGACCUGUAAUGUAAUGUAAUGUCUUUAGUUUGCGGCGGAAGAUGUGAAGGCUCUCCUGGCGGUCCUGGUGUCUUCAGAGAGCUCGUUCCACCAUUUUGGAGCAAGGACAACAAAGAGUCGAGAUCUAGUGGAGUGUUUUGCUCUCAGUGAGAUUUCUGAGAAGCACGAUGGGCCCCUGUCAGCCAUAACCGCAGCUGCUGAGGACAACAAGCUUGUGACAGAAGAGCAACCUAAACCCUCUGAUCCAGAAACCCAGCAGGACACAGACGAACACCACACCAAAGCUGAGGAAAAGGACACUGACCAGCAGGUGGAAGACGGGCAACGCUCCACUGAGGCUGCUGAUAGCUCGGCACCAGCUGAAAGCUCAGGUCCAGGUGAUAGCUCGGCACUAGCAGACGGCUCAGGUCCAGGUGACAACUUGGCACUAGCAGACGGCUCAGGUCCAGGUGACAACUCGGCACCAGCAGACGGCUCAGGUCCAGGUGACAACUCGGCACCAGCAGACGGCUCGGCUCCGGCUGACAGCACAGGUCCAGGUGACAGCUCGGCGCUAGCCAAUGGCUCGGCUCUGGCUGAGAGUUUGGCCACAGGCAACAGUGGCGAGGGGACGGAGUCCAGCGAGAGAACUCAAGAAGAGGCUGACAUUUCUAUGGAUGUGGAGCAGGAAGAGAAGAAAGAAGAACAAGAAGCAGACCAGUAGUGAUCGUCUAACAAUCAAUCUUUUUUUUUUAAAUGUGUUGAUUAUUCCAUUGUAGAAUAUAUGUGUAGAUUGAUACGAAUACAAAAAGCAAUAAAGAAACUGUUAUUACCAACACAUGUAUUUAAUUAUCAUUCUUAUUUAUGUAUCUCUGUCCCAGUUAUUCCUGCAACACAUGCAAUAAUGCAGAUUACAACACUGAUUGACUCAUUAUAUUGUACAAGCUCUCCACAUUGAGGCCACGUGUGAUGUUUUGAAAGAAUGACUGUGCACAUUCCCUCCAGUGACCGUUGACCUGAAGGAGGAGGACCAACAGCGCUUGUGCAAAAUGACAGUUACGUAUUUCAUGUUUUACUCCGGUAUCAGCCGUGCAGACUGCAUGUCUGUGCCGCUUAUCACACGCAGCUGCGUCACAUCACGUCGUCUGAUAGAUAUCUCGGUGCCAAACAAAGCUGGGGUUUACUUUUUUGGGGGGAGGAACACCAGCUGUAGGUGGGAUUUAAACGCGCGUUGAUCCGCGGCGCGUUCACACAGCAGCAGCAGCCGCACCCCGUGGUGCUUUGACCGGGGCGGAGGGGAGAGACGGAGACGGAGAUGCAGCCGCAGACGGGAAUCAUCGGCAGCGCGGUGGCUGCAGGCUGCGGCCUCUUCGCAGCGACCAUGAACUUCUUCACCGACAUGUUUCUGACUCCACCGCUGAAGGCAACGCUCAGAAGUUUGGAGGAGGCUGAGCUGAAAACUUUGAAAGGAGGUAACUUGUUUAAGACGUUAUGUGAGGGUUUAUGAUUUCAUAAUCUGGUUUAAGGGGGGUGAAGC
ensembl:lncRNA